UACGGGGGGGCAAGCGUUGUUCGGAAUUACUGGGCGUAAAGGGCGCGUAGGCGGCCCGCUAAGUCGAACGUGAAAUCCCCGAGCUCAACUCGGGAACUGCGUCCGAUACUGGCGGGCUUGAAUCCGGGAGAGGGAUGCGGAAUUCCAGGUGUAGCGGUGAAAUGCGUAGAUAUCUGGAGGAACACCGGUGGCGAAGGCGGCAUCCUGGACCGGCAUUGACGCUGAGGCGCGAAAGCUAGGGGAGCAAACGGG
rnacentral:rRNA from 1 species